CAAUAUGAUCCAGUUACCUUACCAGCUUCCUCCAAAUGUGCAAAGAUUAAACUUCGCUGCUAGUGGUUUUAGUGGUGGCCUCCCACGUUCCAUUUCACAGCUGACCUCCCUCCAGUAUUUAAAUGUCAGUCACAAUAAAAUCCAAGGAUCAGUGAUUGACUCG